UCCUAUUUGUGGGCGAAGCCCCCUCCAGG
rnacentral:piRNA from 1 species